GAAGAGACUACCUGCUAUGGGGGAAUGAGUUCUUCCCUAACUGACAUCAAACAACGUCCUGAUGAGCCUUUCUCAGAUUUUGUUCAUCACCUGCUAAUGUCUGCAGGAAGAAUUUUUGGAAACACUGAUUCAGAAAUGAAGAUUCAUGCCAUACUCUGGAACAUUCUUCUGUUGGCACCUCUUUCAGAAGAGAGCUGUUUGACCAACCCAUCUGGAAUGUCUGUUGUGGAUUGCUGCCCCAUCUUCUUCCCCUGUUAGGUCCCUUGCUUGGCUUAUUGAUUUCUCUAUUGCUUGCACCUUUUCUCAAUAAUAAAUCGAUGGCUUUCAUCAAGAAUCAGGUAUAUGCUAUCAAAAUAGAGCCUAUAUAGAUGCACUGCCAUUACCUUGACUUGGCCAAAAUGGGAGAUGACUAUAAUGAACUCUAUUUACAGAACAUAAGAUCUGUGUAUUUGAAAAAUCAUUGGGUUCAAUCUUUCCUUGGUGAGUUGGGCUGGAUAGCCAACAAUGGGCAAGAGAGGGAGGGUUUAGUGUGUCUGACCCUGAAGCCCCCUAAGAAAGGAAUCAUCAUCAUGCAACAUCAACUCCAGAAAAGGGUAAGGCUAUCAUACACUCUUCAGCCCAUUGAUUCCACUGACCUAAGCCUGGCACAGUCCCCUUAAGGACAUCCCCUACCUAUGGCCUUCUUACAUAUUAUAUAAAAAUAAAGGGAGACAUGUAGAGGACUCUGAAAGAAGAUAGCAUAAUAAUGUCAUCUAUGCCUUCUAUUACUUUUUUAACACUCAGUUAAGUUUCUGUUGCUUUGCAUCUGUCAAUUUUCUUGUAAAGCAUAUGCCCAUGUCUGUAGUCAAGACAGCUCCAGCCCCAGACUUAUCUCCUUGCAACACAUCAUGCCUAGAAGGACAAUAGUCUCCCCCACACCCUGACCCUUUUACCCUACUUAAAUCAUAUUGACCUGUCUAAUAAACUGAGACUUGAUCAGAGUACUCUCUUGUCUCCAUCUCUCCUGUCUCUUUUCUCUUCCAUUCAUAUUCCCUCCCCCAUGGUUCCCUUUGACUGAUCGCACAAACUAUGAAACCUCCCCUGCCCCCACGUUCCCAAUUUGCCAGAAUCUGGAAGCAACCUAGAUGACCCUCAACUGAAGAAUGGGUAGAGAAAAUGUGGUAUAAUUACACAAUAGAGUACUACUCAGCAGAAAAAAACAAUUGAAACUUGCAGUUUGCAGGCAAAUUGAUGGAACUAGAAGAAACCAUCCUGAGUGAGGUAACCCAGUAACAAAAAGAUAAACAUAGUAUGUACUCUUUCAUAUAUGAUUUCUAGACAUAGAACAAAUGAUUACCAGUCUACAAUCUACACUGCCAGAGGAGCUAGGAAACAAGGAGGACCCCAAGAGAAGAAUGAAUAGUCCAUCGAAGAAGGGGAGGGGGACAAGAACCCCUAAACAUCUUCCUUUGAAGAAUCCACACAUUUCCCCAAAAUAGAAUAUGCUCCAAUUUCAAAUAUCACUGUUAAACCUGAAGCUUAUGUUUUUGUUAUCUUUGAUAAGAACUGAAUUUUUUAAUGCAUUUCUAUGUGCAUCACUAUGCAUCCAUCUACUGGAACAAGAGUAGUCCCACAUGGCAAGCAAUUCUGAAAAAAUAAACUACAACUAUCCUUCUCAUUUCUUUAAUAGAUGAAAAGUGACUUUCAAUAUUGUUUGGCAAUAGUUCUGUUCCUAAUUGAAUGGCUUUUAGUUUAUAUGGAGAGAUAUGGAAAAAUCUUAACCACUUAUACUGUGAAAGGAUAACAGUUUUCUCACUCAUAUGCAAGUAAUGGUUUAUUUGGUUUAGUUAUUGGCUAAAUGUAUCCAUAUAUGGACACAUUUGUUAUUCAGAAACACUAUAAUUUAGAUGUGGAACUUGGAUUAUGAGGAUAAGAAUAUACUUUUGAUAUUCCUGUAUACUUAUGUCAUCAUAGAAACUAAUGCAUUUGCUACUAUGCUGCCCUUGGAUGGAAUACAGGUGAUAUAACUCAAGGUUAAUCAGAAUGUUAGUGGCUUAAAAGUUAGCAGGAAUAAAAUUUCUCACUCUCAUGAGCUAUAUGCCUUAAUGGAAAAAAAAACUGAGUGAUUUUUAGAAAUAUCUUUGUCUUUGUGGCCCAAAACUGAGAAAAAUCUGUAAUUAUGAGGUUUGCAUUCAAGGCCUCGAGUUGGAAGGAAAACCACAAGCUUCUUUAAUAGCCAAGAACUGGAUACCAGUGUUGUGACCCUGAUGGGUGACCUAAGGUGCCCUUGGGGUUGGCUUUUUCACCUCAUGACCAGGCAUUCUUGUUGAGACACUGCUGGGUGACCUAAGGUGCCAUUGGUAUUCUCUGUCUGCCUCAAGACUGGAGAGGAUUAGCACAUUUUUAAUGGGGACAAUUGUUCCACAGAAUCAUACCUCCAAUUUCACCUAGGCUGGCCUGUAUGCAAGAAUGCAAACUAUCAGCCCAUUGCCAGGGGGCUUGGGUACAUGGACCUUGGUCUGAGUAAAUUUCUACGUGACUGCUGUUGAUGUAUAAGUAUUCU
ensembl:lncRNA